GACGAACGCUGGCGGCGCGCUUAACACAUGCAAGUCGAACGGAAAGGCCUGCUUUCCCUUGUGGAUUGCGGGUACUCGAGUGGCGAACGGGUGAGUAACACGUGAGUGAUCUGCCCCCAACUUGGGUAUAAGCCUGGGAAACUGGGUCUAAUUCCCGAUAGGACUGCAGGGUGGUGCCUGUGGUGGAAAACGAUUUUCUAGUGGUUGGGGAUGAGCUCGCGGCCUAUCAGCUUGUUGGUGGGGUAAUGGCCUACCAAGGCGGCGACGGGUAGCCGGCCGGGGAGGGUGGACGGCCACAUUGGGACUGAGAUACGGCCCAGACGCCUACGGGAGGCAGCAGAGGGGAAUAUUGCGCAAUGGGCGGAAGCCUGAUGCGGCGACGCCGCGGGGGGGAUGACGGCCUUCGGGUUGUAAACUCCUUUCGACCGCGAGGAAGCCACCUGGUUGGAAGGGUGGUGACGGUAGUGGUAGAAGAAGCACCGGCUAACUACGUG
rnacentral:rRNA from 1 species